CGGAGGGUCCAAGCGUUAUCCGGAAUCAUUGGGUUUAAAGGGUCCGUAGGCGGUUUAGUAAGUCAGUGGUGAAAGCCCAUCGCUCAACGGUGGAACGGCCAUUGAUACUGCUAGACUUGAAUUAUUGGGAAGUAACUAGAAUAUGUAGUGUAGCGGUGAAAUGCUUAGAUAUUACAUGGAAUACCAAUUGCGAAGGCAGGUUACUACCAGUGGAUUGACGCUGAUGGACGAAAGCGUGGGGAGCGAACAGGAUUAGAUACCCUGGUAGUCCACGCCGUAAACGAUGGAUACUAGCUGUUCGGAGCAAUCUGAGUGGCUAAGCGAAAGUGAUAAGUAUCCCACCUGGGGAGUACGUUCGCAAGAAUG
rnacentral:rRNA from 1 species